GAUCCUGGCUCAGGACGAACGCUGGCGGCGUGCCUAAUACAUGCAAGUCGAACGCUUCUUUUUCCACCGGAGCUUGCUCCACCGGAAAAAGAGGAGUGGCGAACGGGUGAGUAACACGUGGGUAACCUGCCCAUCAGAAGGGGAUAACACUUGGAAACAGGUGCUAAUACCGUAUAACAAUCGAAACCGCAUGGUUUUGAUUUGAAAGGCGCUUUCGGGUGUCGCUGAUGGAGUCGGACCCGGCGGUGCUAUUAGCGUUAGG
rnacentral:rRNA from 1 species